rnacentral:misc_RNA from 1 species
AAGUCGUAACAAGGUUUCCGUAGGUGAACCUGCGGAAGGAUCAUUACCGGUGCAGGAGCUCUCGCGAGCCCGCCCACCCGUGUAUACUUAUCUCUUGUUGCUUUGGCAUGGCCUCCGGCUCCGGCUGGGUCGCGCCUGCCAGAGGAUUGAUAAACGCUGUAAUUAGUGACGUCUGAGUACUAUCUAAUAGUUAAAACUUUCAACAACGGAUCUCUUGGUUCUG